AACGAACGUUAGCGGCGCGCUUAACACAUGCAAGUCGAACGAGAAAGGGCUUCGGCCCCGGUACAGUGGCGCACGGGUGAGUAACACGUGGGUAAUCUACCCUCGAGCGGGGGGAUAACGUUCCGAAAGGAGCGCUAAUACCGCAUAAGACCACGCUCUCGAAAGGGGAGCGAGGUAAAAGUAGGCCUCUGAAUUCACGCUUACACUCGAGGAUGAGCCCGCGGCCCAUCAUGAUAGUUGGUAGGGUAAUGGCCUACCAAGCCGAAGACGGGUAGCUGGUCUUAGAGGAUGAUCAGCCACACUGGAACUGAGACACGGUCCAGACUCCUACGGGAGGCAGCAGUGGGGAAUCUUGCGCAAUGGGCGAAAGCCUGACGCAGCGACGCCGCGUGGGUGAUGAAGGCC
rnacentral:rRNA from 1 species